GGUGCAGUGGGGAACGGAUCAGGCGGUUCCCUCCUUGUAGAGGAGAGAGAACCGCAGAACCAUCCGGCUCCCGGCGGUUCUGAGCCACCCAGUACCACCA
rnacentral:tRNA from 1 species